CUCCUAUUAACAUGCUCAACAGUACAACCACAUGAGUUCACAUAUAAAAGCCUUUGAAAACAAUCCCAAAUAAUUACAAUUGCUAAAUGUAACAAGUCGUUAAGAUCACCUAUGAAUGUGCUAAACUAACUUACACAUUUGAACCAUAGAACUACACUAACAUCGAAUGACAGUACUUAAACUAAGCUGAAACAGUACUAAAUAUUUUGGUUAAGAAUAAUAGCCAAGAAUAUCCAGCUAAUUGAAGAAAGGAAAUCCAUUACCAAUCAUCACAUUUAAAGCCCCUUUUAUUGCUUCAAGCUAAUGAACAUACCUAGAACAACCAAAACUCAAUCAGUAAUUCAGCAAGGAACCAACAAUCCAGCAGAUCUUAGAACAACAACAAACAGCAGGCUAUCAGCCAACUUCUCAUGUUUUGAACCUAGAAGAAAGGAGCAAUUCAACCUAGCUUCUAAAACCCAAGAAAAAUGAAAACACUAAGUGCAAUAGAACAAUACUUGUGAUCUUUUUUGUAUUUUUCUUUCUGAUUUUUAGACUCUCUCAAUGUGUUUGUUUCUUCAGCCAUUUUCUGAACCUUUUAGCCUCUAAACUCUGCCAAUUUAUUAAAAACAAGCCUUAUAUAGAGGACCUUAGGGCAGCAAAAUUGAUUUCACAGUUUUAUUAAUUACCCCUUCCCCAAUUUUUAUUUUUUCACAUUAGACCCUGUAUUUUGAAUCUGCUUGUUAAAACCAACCCAUAUCCCACUUUUCUAGCAGCUUCCUAGGCAGUUAUAAAAGAUUCUCUCUAUCCAUUUCUCUAAACUACCCCUUAAACAGCUACUAUUUACCUUCAGGAUAUUAUCCAUGGGUCAAAUUAACCCAAUAUCCAAAACCAAACCAAAAUGACCGGGCUUUUCUUGAAACCGGGUCAGAGAUGACCCAAAAGCCCAAUCAAACAAAGUGACCAACCCAAUACCAAUUUCAGUGAUUCAUGAAAAGAAGAAAAAUGAAAACAAAUUCGGACUUAAAUGAUUUCAAACUCAAUAAUUUAUAAAGUAAUCCAAAAAAAGGUGGGAUUAACCCAAAUUAAAACCUAAUUAAAAGGUUGAAACAAGAAUGACUCUCAAAGAUGAAGAGCAAACAGUUUUAUGGACAGAAACACAACCUGACAGGAUACUGAAGAAAAAGAGAAGAAAAAUGGAGGUGUAACAGUGAGACAUUACCAUUCAUGGAACGGGAAAUACCCAGGAAAUAGUCCAGGACUCAAAACGCUGGUGGAAUGACAGCUCGGAGUCUUUCAUCGAACCAAAAAAAACUCUCCCCUUAAGCUUGGAAUUGAGGAGUUUUUGUGUUGUUGUUUGAGGGGAAUCAGUGAGAUAUUAGGGGUGAGGGAAUUGAGGAAAUGGUAUGGUGAAACUUUUGGGUUGAUUCGGAGGAACUAGGGUUUUGGUAUUAGUUUUAGAUCCAAAAUUGGAGAGGGUUGAGAGGGAUUCGAGGGACAUUGUUUCGGGGUUUAGGAAGAGGAAGGCACGGGGAUGGUGUGGUGUUAAUUUGGGGGCGGAUUGAGGUUGUGCCGCCACCGGUGGAAGCUUAUGAGUUUGGGGCGGCGGGUUUUCUAGGUUUUAGGUCUGAGAGAGAUGGGAGAAGGUUAACAGGGUCUUAUGUUGUUUG
rnacentral:lncRNA from 1 species